rnacentral:lncRNA from 1 species
AUGAGCACAAGGUUAUUAGACUCGGUUAGUUAUAUGGCCUUUAUCAGUAGCGAGGAAGAAACAGUUUUUAAGGCGGACAAGUGCUGCUCGUAUAUUAAGAAAUCCGAAGUCGGUGGAAAAUACGAGCAAGUGACAUAAAUAUAAUGGCCGGGAAGAAUCAGUCUGACACCGAGGAAUUCCAUUUCUUGUGAAACCUGGACUGUGAAAAGCUCCUCCAAGCAUGAAGUAAGAAUCCACUGCAAUCAGAACCCCUCCUCCACGUCGAGACGAACGAUCAUUCCUAUAAAUUGUGUACCAAAACUGCCAAAACUAAGACCGACACGGGCUUUAACCAGGUUUCGGUAAACACAAUAACGUGGUAUGAAAAUGUGAAACUGCCAAUAAAAAGAGUGCUCAGCUUACUACGCAAGCCUCUAUAAUUUUGAUCGGCAACAAGGAGGAAAAUCAGUUUUUUGACUGCGAGGACUUGCAGCGGGAAGCAGAGGAGCAGAUGGAUGGAACAAAG